rnacentral:rRNA from 1 species
GUGAGGAAUAUUGGUCAAUGGGCGAGAGCCUGAACCAGCCAAGUCGCGUGAAGGAUGAAGGUUUUAUGAAUUGUAAACUUCUUUUGCAGGGGAAUAAAGUACGGUACGUGUACCGUUUUGUAUGUACUCUGCGAAUAAGGAUCGGCUAACUCCGUGCCAGCAGCCGCGGUAAUACGGAGGAUCCAAGCGUUAUCCGGAUUUAUUGGGUUUAAAGGGUGCGCAGGCGGGUUGAUAAGUCAGCGGUGAAAGUUUGCAGCUUAACUGUAAAAUUGCCGUUGAAACUGUCGAUCUUGAGUGCAAAUGAGGUAAGCGGAAUGUGUUGUGUAGCGGUGAAAUGCUUAGAUAUAACACAGAACACCGACGGCGAAGGCAGGUUACCAACCCAUUACUGACGCUGAGGCACGAAAGCGUGGGGAUCAAACAGGAUUAGAUACCCUAGUAGUCC